UCGUAAUUUUUGAUAGUUUAAGCUGUUUCUUGUUUACUCAAGCUCAUUGCUAAUAACAUUUUAAGUUAUCUCCUUUUUUUUUUUUUACCAAUUAAUUAUUCUAUAAAAAGCAAUUUAUAUACCAAUUACGUUUACAUGUGAAUAAGGAGAUUGAUAGCAACAGGGAAAGAUACUGAUGGCCUCAGGAAACAAUUGUGUGUGCUCAUUCCAAAAUUCUGCCCCCGAAAUGAACAAUCAGCAAGAAAUGUAUACUCGGAGGCACAAUUUAACAGAAAUACAGCCAACUCUGAAAAAAUAUUCAAAAGACGUUUCCAGAGGAUGGAGAAAAAAAGACCUCCGUCAACGAAGACUGCCGAAUACUAUUGCUCUGAAGGUAAACUUCUUUACUUUAUAUACUGGUACCUGCUCAUAAAACAAGUCAACAAUAUGGGCAGUUUUUCUCAUUUUUAUGUACUAUUAUUUUUAAGUCCAGUAGAAUAUUGUAGCAAGCCACAAUCGUGCCUGACUAAAAAACGACCAUUCAAUCACAUACAAAGACAAACACUUGAGAUUAUUAGAAUAUGUGAGCAGUGGGGUAGUAUGUUGUGCAGAUUAUUAUUAUUAAUAUUGAAGAUUAAAUUUCGAAAACAUUAAAUAUAUGAGUUUUAAAUUCACUUUUAAACUUGUUCGUAUCAAAACAGUACAACCGCCGAGUCGCUGAGACUGCAUGACUUCUCGGCCUAGCUCGCGAUCCACAACUGCUGACGAAACAAUCCCAUUACAAAUCUUACAGAUAAAUUAAUUUAUCUGGGUACUUCCCAGAAAUGCUUAUUUCCUUCUCCCUGGUUCUCUUACAAAUCUCUGUCUCUUUCUAGCCUAAAACACAAUCUGGUAUUCUCCAGUCCGAUAUCCUUUACAUGGUCCAGGCGAACGUCUGUCUCUCUUUUACACUGGUUGCGAUUAAUUAUUGUCUUAUCAUUUCGAGGUGCGACAUGUUCUUGCCACACAUCUUAAUUUCCUUCUCUCAACGCAAUACUCGCUGUUUUAACAUGACUAUAAAACACUUAACAUAAAAUUAUAAUUAUAAAAAGCACUUUCAAAUGCAAUAAAAUACUGAAGAUAUCGCUUAAAUAAAUAUUAACCUAACUGUCAAAGUGAAAACCAGUAAAAUUAUAGUCAAAUGGCUUUUCUAAAUAAUAUAAUUAAAUAUGAAAAUUAUUUACGUGAAUAUUAAUAAGGAAAAAUUUCAAGUUUUAAAAAUUGGACAUUAUGACUUUGCAGCGGAUAUGCAGUACCUACUGAGAAAAUCCAAUAUUUGUUCCUGUAUCAUAUCCUUAGAAAAGCUGGGAAGAGCAGGGUCUUGAAACUUACAAGAUAAGUUUAGUGCAUGCUACACACCAACUGACAUGUUUAAAAACUGGUUUUUCUAAUUUAAUUUGUACACAUCUCAAAAAAUUAACACACUAUCGAUGAAAAAAAUAUUCUCGCUGGCGUAAAUUAAAUAAUAUUUUACGUAAACUAUCAUCACGUAAAGAUUACUGGGGUAUGAAGUAACAAAUUCCACUAAGCGGAUGUGUUUCGCAAAGAAGUAUAGGAAGUUGCCAGACCUUACUAUAUGACUGUGUGGCUGACAUAGAGAAAUGACACAAACUCAUUGUUUGUGUGUGUGGCAUAGCUCGUAUAAUUUUCUUAUAUAAAAUUGAUUUUAUUCCUUUUUUACUACCUUAGGGAUGGAAUUUCAUAAUUAUAUAUAGCAUAUGUCACUCUCAGGUCCAUAAACUAUCUAUAUGCAAAAAAUUGUUUUGGUCUUUUGCUCCGUUACUGCGUGAAAUAAGGACUUUCCUAUUUAUAUUAGUAUGGAUUAUCACCCCAAUGGAAUACCUAACAGACUAACUUACAUUUCCAUACAUUGUGUUGUUUUAAUCAGGGUACCUAUAGGUUAUGCCACAUUACACGUUGGGUUGCGUGUGCCCCAUCUGCAUGAAUAAAAUAAGUGAUAAAUUGUUUUUGUACAUCUCAUUGUUAAAGUAGUGGAAAUGUGUGCAAUUUCUAUAUUAAUAGUGAAAUGUAUUGUACUUGUGAAAGUACUUUCUGUACAAACAAGGAGUGUACAUUUCCUAGCUUAGAAUUAUUGGAAUCAUUAUAUUACCUGCUUUUGUAACUUAAUUGGUAUCUUGGUUUCCUCUUGUAAAUAAAAGUCAACAAAAAACAAAA